rnacentral:lncRNA from 1 species
GUGGGGACUCUGCUUCCCAGAGUGCUUCGCGCGGGCCGCCGCGGCUGACGGCGCGUUUCCUGUGCGCGCGGCCGGAUGUAGCCGCCUGGGCCGCGCGCUGCGAGGAGGAGCGGUUGGGCCGCGCUCCGUGAGGGUAUCUGAGAUCCAUCACUAACAGCUGCCUCCUGUAAAGCUUUGCCCUGGAGAGUGGGUGUAGUAACAGCUGACCUAGGGUGACUGUGCUCUCUGGCUCCCCCUGCAGCAGGGGGAGGAAGGAGGAGAGCCUGAUUGAGAGCAGCAUGGAAGAUUCUCCUGGAGACCUGUCCAUUCAGAGAGAUGCCAUCCUGUCUGAGUUGUAUCAUAUUCAGAUCACCACCAAGAAACUGGUGCAGCAGCUGAGAUCCUUGGUGGCUUUAACUGACCCAGAGGAAGGGAAAUUGUUUCAGUCUCAAGAGACAGUGAGUGACUAGCACACUUCCCAUGCCUAUUUACAGUCUUUAUUGAGAACCUAU